rnacentral:lncRNA from 1 species
AGCUGUAAGGUGCUUAGCUGUUCAUCUGGCUCUAAUAAGAGUGUGUUGAUGAAAGGUGUAUAAAGUUCUCUGGUGAGAAGUGGGUCAGGCAUGUCACGUAGAAAUUCCUUUAACAAAGCAGCAACAUCGUGAAUGCUGUGCUCUUCGUCUAACACAACAUCUAUGCCCCGGUCAAACUCUUCACGCAACUGUCUUACUCUCUUUUUUGAACUUCC